UGGGGAAUUUUGGACAAUGGGCGAAAGCCUGAUCCAGCAAUGCCGCGUGUGUGAAGAAGGCCUUCGGGUUGUAAAGCACUUUUGUCCGGAAAGAAAUCCUUGGCUCUAAUACAGUCGGGGGAUGACGGUACCGGAAGAAUAAGCACCGGCUAACUACGUGCCAGCAGCCGCGGUAAUACGUAGGGUGCAAGCGUUAAUCGGAAUUACUGGGCGUAAAGCGUGCGCAGGCGGUUUGCUAAGACCGAUGUGAAAUCCCCGGGCUCAACCUGGGAACUGCAUUGGUGACUGGCAGGCUAGAGUAUGGCAGAGGGGGGUAGAAUUCCACGUGUAGCAGUGAAAUGCGUAGAGAUGUGGAGGAAUACCGAUGGCGAAGGCAGCCCCCUGGGCCAAAUACUGACGCUCAUGCACGAAAGCGUGGGGAGCAAACAGGAUUAGAUACCCUGGUAGUCCAUGCCCUAAACGAUGUCAACUAGUUGUUGGGGAUUCAUUUCCUUAGUAACGUAGCUAACGCGUGAAGUUGACCGCCUGGGGAGUAC
rnacentral:rRNA from 1 species